rnacentral:rRNA from 1 species
GACAGCAGCAGCCGCGGUAAUACAGAGGAUGCGAGCAUUAUCCGGAAUGAUUGGGCGUAAAGCGAGCGCAGGCGGUUAGAUAAGUCUGAAGUGAAAGGCAGUGGCUCAACCAUUGUAGGCUUUGGAAACUGUUUAACUUGAGUGCAGAAGGGGAGAGUGGAAUUCCAUGUGUAGCGGUGAAAUGCGUAGAUAUAUGGAGGAACACCGGUGGCGAAAGCGGCUCUCUGGUCUGUAACUGACGCUGAGGCUCGAAAGCGUGGGGAGCGAACAGGAUUAGAUACCCGGGUAGUCCCUGUCUCUUAUACA